GCAUCAUUGGUCUAGUGGUAGAAUCCAUCGUUGCCAUGACUUCGGAGUCUCCGAGUCUCUCUCGGAUCGAUGGGGCCCGUGUUCGAUUCACGGAUGAUGCA